rnacentral:lncRNA from 1 species
UGUUAAUGGAAUUACCUUGCAUUAAUGACUCAUUUAACUCAUUGUUAUAAUUCCACUUCCUUACUGAAGCUAGUUUGGUUUCAGUAUUUGUUAAAGAAUGUGUUGUAUCUUCAUUUUACUAGACCAAUAUGGUUUUAUUGACAUGGUUCACGUUGUCUGUUGGGAUCCCAAAAUUUAUGGACAUGAACUGUGUUAACAAGGAACAAUAUGCUUCGACAAAUGUUUGGUUAGUAGAGGCAUCAUUGCUUGGUAAUUUUAUUGGAGUGUCUUUGUUUAGGUUCUCUUUUAGGACUUCAAGAAAUGUUUGAUUAGUGGAAGCAUUAUUGCUUGGUAAUUUUAUUGGGAUCUUUAUUUAAGUUCUCUCUCUCCCCUACUUCAGAAUUCUUGUUUCCCAUUAAUUCUUUUCUUUCAACAGAGCCAUUUUUAUAGCUUCUGUAGCAUAGAGAGAGAGAUAAUACAUCUUUUAUCCCUAAUUCCAGCUCAGAACACUUCUCAAGAAGUAAAAGUGACCUCUUCUCUUUGUUAUUUGACCUGUUCAAGCAUCGUGUUUCCAAAGGCCUUUUUUUCUUUGUUAGAAAAAUGGAGCUCUCUAGGUUUGUCUAGUGAGUAUUGUAGCUGGAAUGAGCAUGAAUGAUGGAACAACAAUGUGGAAAACUUAGUUUUGAAGUUAAAAAAUGUAUUAUGUCAACCUUACUCAUGGGAAUUUCCAACAUGCCAUCUUUGUUUCUGGUGUAAUAUUGAUGAUAUUAGUUGUACUCACUGCAUAUCCUUUUGGCUAUAUCAGUUGGUGAAACUCUAGGACUUCUGUUACAUUUCCAUGAAGUUUUGUAUGCUUUGGCUUUGAAUCCUGCUCUUUAUGAAGUUAUAUUCGUCCAACCAAGAGAUUUCACUUUUUGACUGCAUACCAAAUAGUUAAGCAUUUAAUCCCUUUCCAGGAUCUUAAAGCAGCUCCAUGCUUGUAGCUUGAUCUUCAUUUUGAAUGAAAGAUGUUCUAUAAGGUGGCAGCUUGUUAUGGGGGAAUAGAUAUGACUAAAUAUCUGUAGAUUCUGUGUGAUAUUUGGAUGCUGCAGAAUUAGGAAGGGGAGCCAGAAAAUCUCAUGUUACCAAUACUUGAUGAAAACAGUCAAACACAGAACGUUUACAUUUUUUUCCUUUUCUUUCUUUUCUCUCUUUGGUAGAGCCAAUGGGUGGGAUGAUGAGGGAAUGAGCAAAUUGGCAAAUAGAAGAGGAUGAAGUCAAUAAAUAUGAAUGGGAUAUGGAUGAAAGCAUAAAAUUUAUGAGAGCAUAAAGUUGUUCACCUAAAAAAAUAUGUAGCAACUGCUGGAUGAUUUGUUCUAGAAUGGGUGAAAAUGUGAGCUUGUUGAAAAUUAAUUGAUUGAUAUGUAUGGAAAUGUGUUCUUCACCCUUUGAUAUUAUUUUACAUCAAAUUGAAAUGGAAUUAUAUCUAAUAUAGACACCAAGAAGAAAACCGGUUUUAUAAGUGAUUUAUGGUAACUUGAUUCACUGGAUCAAAUUGUUUGAACUACUUAAUUGAUAAUGGAAAUCUGAUGCCACUCCAAACACCUGCCUUGAUGUAACUGAAACACUUAAAAUUAUUUAACUCUGAGAACUUUGUAACCUAAUAAUUAUAGAUGGCUAUGCUGGUUGGAACCAUGGUAUGCAUGAAUUUCCUUUCCUUGGGAUUUCUUUUCCUGAAAAGUAAUUGAUUUUCAUUUUUCUGUUUAGUUAUUAAUUGUUUUCUUAGCUGACAUAUGUUAAUGCUAGAAAUUUGAGGAGCAAAAGGGACUGGCAAGUCUGUAAAAGAAGUCUUAUCUUAUCUUGUCCUAGAUUUUGACAAAAUGGCAAAAAAUGGUUUAUGUAGACAGUGUAGGUGUACCUGAUAAAGGAUCAUUCAGAGUUGACCUUCAGCAGGCUCUUCAUUGUCUAAUUACUUAAAAUGUUCUUUCUUACGAUCGUGGUUUUGAUCCAGU